rnacentral:rRNA from 1 species
CGUUCCCGGGCCUUGUACACACCGCCCGUCACACCACGAAAGUCGGCAACACCCGAAGCCAGUGGCUAACCCGUAAGGGAGGAGCUGUCGAAGGUGGGGUCGGUGAUUGGGGUG